rnacentral:rRNA from 1 species
CAGUCGCCGCGGUAAUACGUAGGGUGCAAGCGUUAAUCGGAAUUACUGGGCGUAAAGCGUGCGCAGGCGGUUAUAUAAGUCAGAUGUGAAAUCCCCGGGCUCAACCUGGGAACUGCAUUUGAGACUGUAUGGCUAGAGUGUGUCAGAGGGGGGUAGAACUCCACGUGUAGCAGUGAAAUGCGUAGAUAUGUGGAGGAAUACCGAUGGCGAAGGCGGCCCCCUGGGAUAACACUGACGCUCAUGCACGAAAGCGUGGGGAGCAAACAGGAUUAGAUACCCCCGUAGUCCCUGUCUCUUAUAC